AGAUGAGCAUGCGUCCCAUUAGCUAGUUGGUAAGGUAACGGCUUACCAAGGCAACGAUGGGUAGGGGUCCUGAGAGGGAGAUCCCCCACACUGGUACUGAGACACGGACCAGACUCCUACGGGAGGCAGCAGUGAGGAAUAUUGGUCAAUGGGCGCAAGCCUGAACCAGCCAUGCCGCGUGCAGGAAGACGGUCCUAUGGAUUGUAAACUGCUUUUGCACAGGAAGAAACACUCCCUCGUGAGGGAGCUUGACGGUACUGUGAGAAUAAGGAUCGGCUAACUCCGUGCCAGCAGCCGCGGUAAUACGGAGGAUCCAAGCGUUAUCCGGAAUCAUUGGGUUUAAAGGGUCCGUAGGCGGCCAGAUAAGUCAGUGGUGAAAUCCCGUCGCUCAACGAUGGAACGGCCAUUGAUACUGUUUGGCUUGAAUUAUUUGGAAGUAACUAGAAUAUGUAGUGUAGCGGUGAAAUGCUUAGAGAUUACAUGGAAUACCAAUUGCGAAGGCAGGUUACUACAAAUGGAUUGACGCUGAUGGACGAAAGCGUGGGUAGCGAACAGGAUUAGAUACCCUGGUAGUCCACGCCGUAAACGAUGGAUACUAGCUGUUGGGAGUAAUCUCAGUGGCUAAGCGAAAGUGAUAAGUAUCCCACCUGGGGAGUACGUUCGCAAGAAUGAAACUCAAAGGAAUUGACGGGGGCCCGCACAAGCGGUGGAGCAUGUGGUUUAAUUCGAUGAUACGCGAGGAACCUUACCAAGGCUUAAAUGUAGUUUGACCGAUUUGGAAACAGAUUUUUCGCAAGACAAAUUACAAGGUGCUGCAUGGUUGUCGUCAGCUCGUGCCGUGAGGUGUCAGGUUAAGUCCUAUAACGAGCGCAACCCCUGUUGUUAGUUGCCAUCGAGUCAUGUCGGGAACUCUAGCAAGACUGCCAGUGUAAACUGUGAGGAAGGUGGGGAUGACGUCAAAUCAUCACGGCCCUUACGCCUUGGGCUACACACGUGCUACAAUGGCCGGUACAGUGAGCAGCCACU
rnacentral:rRNA from 1 species